GUGGGGAAUCUUGCGCAAUGGGCGAAAGCCUGACGCAGCCAUGCCGCGUGAAUGAUGAAGGUCUUAGGAUUGUAAAAUUCUUUCACCGGGGACGAUAAUGACGGUACCCGGAGAAGAAGCUCCGGCUAACUACGUGCCAGCAGCCGCGGUAAUACGUAGGGAGCGAGCGUUGUUCGGAAUUACUGGGCGUAAAGGGCGCGUAGGAGGGAAUUUAAGUAAGGUGUGAAAACUCCGGGCUCAACCUGAAGACUGCACUUUAAACUAGAGUGCUUGAGGGCAAGAGAGUCAAGUGGAAUUCCUAGUGUAGCGGUGAAAUGCGUAGAUAUUAGGAGGAACACCAGUGGCGAAGGCGACUUUCUGGACUGUACCUGACGCUGAGGCGCGAAAGCGUGGGGAGCGAACAGGAUUAGAAACCCUUGUAGUCC
rnacentral:rRNA from 1 species